CGGACGGGUGAGUAACGCGUGGGUAACCUGCCUUGUACUGGGGGACGAACAGUUGGAAACGACUGCUAAUACCGCAUAAGCGCACAGCUUCGCAUGAAGCAGUGCGAAAAACUCCGGUGGUACAAGAUGGACCCGCGUCUGAUUAGCUGGUUGGUGAGGUAACGGCCCACCAAGGCGACGAUCAGUAGCCGGCCUGAGAGGGUGAACGGCCACAUUGGGACUGAGACACGGCCCAA
rnacentral:rRNA from 1 species